ACCAAGGAGUCUAACAUGUGCGCGAGCCGCGGGGCAGUACGAAACCCGUAAGGCGAAAUGAAGGUGAACGCCGGCGCGGUCCGGCGGAGGUUGGAUCCCGUCCCGUCGGGGCGGGCGCACUACCGGCCGAUCUUCUCCGCCCUGUCGGCGAGGUCGAGCGAGAGCGUGCAAGUCGGGACCCGAAAGAUGGUGAACUAUGCCUGAGGAGGUUGAAGCCAGAGGAAACUCUGGUGGAGGACCGUAGCGAUUCUGACGUGCAAAUCGAUCGUCAAAUUUGGGUAUAGGGGCGAAAGACUAAUCGAACCGUCUAGUAGCUGGUUC
rnacentral:ncRNA from 1 species